rnacentral:rRNA from 1 species
ACCCUUUAAUGUUUGAUGUUCUAACGUGGACCCGUAAUCCGGGUUGCGGACAGUGUCUGGUGGGUAGUUUGACUGGGGCGGUCUCCUCCUAAAGAGUAACGGAGGAGCACGAAGGUUGGCUAAUCCUGGUCGGACAUCAGGAGGUUAGUGCAAUGGCAUAAGCCAGCUUGACUGCGAGCGUGACGGCGCGAGCAGGUGCGAAAGCAGGUCAUAGUGAUCCGGUGGUUCUGAAUGGAAGGGCCAUCGCUCAACGGAUAAAAGGUACUCCGGGGAUAACAGGCUGAUACCGCCCAAGAGUUCAUAUCGACGGCGGUGUUUGGCACCUCGAUGUCGGCUCAUCACAUCCUGGGGCUGAAGUAGGUCCCAAGGGUAUGGCUGUUCGCCAUUUAAAGUGGUACGCGAGCUGGGUUUAGAACGUCGUGAGACAGUUCGGUCCCUAUCUGCCGUGGGCGCUGGAGAACUGAGGGGGGCUGCUCCUAGUACGAGAGGACCGGAGUGGACGCAUCACUGGUGUUCGGGUUGUCAUGCCAAUGGCACUGCCCGGUAGCUAAAUGCGGAAGAGAUAAGUGCUGAAAGCAUCUAAGCACGAAACUUGCCCCGAGAUGAGUUCUCC